UUCUGGAGAAAGCAUGGUGACGUACCAUCUUUUAAGCAGAGAGGAUCCUUCACAAGACAUAAGAACUUGCAGAGUUGUGGCGGCAGAUAAUUCUAAUGGUGGCAGUGGUCUACAUAUGGAAACAGUUAAGAAAUAAGGAACUUGCAGCAGUAUGACCUGAGCGUGGAAAAGCAUUGUGAUCAUGAAGUCAAAUGGAACAUAUGAUCUCAUCAACCUCACAGCCACACAUGGAGAAUGGUGCUGUCCCCAUUCUGCAG